GACGAACGCUGGCGGCGUGCCUAAUACAUGCAAGUCGAGCGGGUUUAUCCUUCGGGGUAAGCUAGCGGCGGACGGGUGAGUAACACGUAGGUAACCUGCCUUUAAGACUGGGAUAACUAUCGGAAACGAUAGCUAAGACCGGAUAACUGGUUUUCUCGCAUGAGAGAAUUAUAAAACACGGAGCAAUCUGUGACUUGAAGAUGGGCCUGCGGCGCAUUAGCUAGUUGGUGAGGAACGGCUCACCAAGGCGACGAUGCGUAGCCGACCUGAGAGGGUGAACGGCCACACUGGGACUGAGACACGGCCAGACUCCUACGGGAGGCAGCAGUAGGGAAUCUUCCGCAAUGGACGCAAGUCUGACGGAGCAACGCCGCGUGAGUGAUGAAGGUUUUCGGAUCGUAAAGCUCUGUUGCCCUAGACGAACAGCAUGAGGAGUAACUGCCUUGUGUGUGACGGUAUA
rnacentral:rRNA from 1 species